GACACCGGUGCAAAAACCUGCACAUGUGCAGUACCGUUGUUCACCACUGGAGGGCGCCCUACAGAAAAUAUUUCCGAUUUCUUUCUCCCUUCUAUGCUAUUGUUUUACUAAGACUUCAGAAGCUCAGAGUUUUAACAUGGGGCGGGGGUGUGGAGUUCUGGUAGGCUGGUAGAGCACUGACUCCUUACUAUUCAGUCACGAACUCAAGAUUUUAAUUUUCCUUAGGUUGUCUUCUAAAUGUAGACUUUUUUUUCUUUUUUUUUUCGGAGCUGGGGACCAAACCCAGGGCCUUGCGCUUGCUAGGCAAGUGCUCUACCACUGAGCCAAAUCCCCAACCCCCUAAAUGUAGAUUUAAGGGUGCUUCUCAUUGGGCUAAAACAUCUCUGUACACUCUCUAUAUAUAUCUACCUCUCUGGAAAACGGGGAAAAAAUGUUCAUGGUUUUAACCCAAAGCUGUAGCUUUUGCUAUGACUCAAAGGUGUGAGUCUACUCUGGCUGUCUUACAGAGCCUGUUAGCUGAUUUUCCUACAAUGUGGAUUUUAGUACAGAUUACAAACAGCGGUAAUGCUAAUAUAUCUAAGACAUAUCUCAUUGUAAACUAAAAAAAUAUCGUGUAAGCUUCAGGGAAUCGUGGGAGUCAUAAGACUCAGCUCCACUUCUCAUGGGUCAAAUGGGCCCCGGAUUAGUAUAACUUAAGUUUCCCCACCCGCCUAUCCCAGCGAUAGGAUCUCUCUGUCUCUUUCCCCUGGUCUCAGGACUCCUCCACUCCCACAACUACUGGGAUAAUGGACCUAAAAAUUCCAAAUGUAGAUAGAAUUUUUGCUUAAGUCUCUAAUCAUUAACUUCUAUUCCUAGUCUAUAUAAUUGUUCUAGUGGAUUUGCAGUCGACUAAUGACUCAAACGGCUCCAAACAUACCAGCUUCAGGUGGUCCUCCAAAACUAGCAAGCCCUAGACGUGAAGUAAGCUAGAGGCUCUGACAAAAUCUCCUACCAUCGUGAGCUCCAGCUUUGGUCCGGCACUCCAGACCUGUUCCAAAGCUACCCAUACUUCAUCAGCCUCAGAUGGUCCAUCCAAACCUAGACAGCAAACCAGAUGUACCCUGCCCUACUCCAGGCCUUUGUCCAUUCCAGCCUUUCUGGGCCUGGCCAUGACGACCUAGUUUGGCUAAGAAGCAGCUACAGAGAAGACUAUAACAUCCUUUAUCAUUAACGAAAGCCUGGAAUGUAGGUCCAAAGAAAACCAGUUCCCACUACCAAAGGAGACAUUUUCCUAUCACUGUCAAAAGAAACAGAUGGCUGUCUGUUUCAUCUAACUCAGGAAUACAGAGCCUGAAAUAUCUAAUGUGCCCGGGAACUCUCUUACUUGCUUCUUGGUUUGGGGGACAUGGAUUCCUUCCGGGUGGUACUGACAGUUCUCCUACCUUGAGUGACCUUGUGCUAGAUAGUUUGGCGGAGUGAGCCUCCUUCUUGGAGAUGAAAUGUCUGGGGCCGUUGGAGCAAGUUCGUUAUGACUUUCAAACAUACGGCAGUGUUCGCCUCCUGUCAAUAAAAUAUAAUCUACAUACUGGAGCAGAGUCGAACUGCACUGGGACACCCGAAAUCCUGUUAAGUCUUUUUGUUAUGCCUCCCCCAAAGAGUGUAGGGGAAUUUUGAACUCUUCGGGUAGUUGGUCCAUGUUGGCUGGCUAGUCUCAUUAUACCUUGGAUCUCAUUGGAUAGUCUCAUUAUACCUUGGAUCUCAUUGGACAGGCUCAUUAUACAUUGGAUCUCAUUGGAUAGUCUCAUUAUACAUUGGAUCUCAUUGGAUAGGCUCGUUAUACAUUGGAUCUCAUUGGAUAGGCUCAUUAUACAUUGGAUCUGAUCUUUCAAAGGCAAACAAGGGCUAGCUAACUGUUACCAAAGAAAUAGAGAGCAGUCACUCCGGACCUCUCCAGACUCUAUGAGAGCCGUGAGCCCUGGAAUUCUCUGGAGGAGACGCCUUCCCUGCAGCCUCUCCUGCACUAGGAAGAGACCUCCAAAGGGCCCAGAAGACUUCCUGACUCACAGCAGUCAUGCAAGGAUGAAUAAUUCAGUGGAUGGGUGAGGGACUUGUGAAACUCUCAAUCAACCACUGGUUGGGGUUCAGGUCAUUCGAUAAUAAAACGUUUCCCCAUUUUAUUUCCUGUGGGUUUGGUCUUUAGAAGUAAGGCUGUAUACCUUCUAUUUCAAACACCCUGCGGUGGUUUGAAUGAAAUGGUCCC
ensembl:lncRNA